AUCCAGAUGAGGAGUCCCGAAUAGAAGGAAAUGCGCAUCCUGGAU
rnacentral:hammerhead_ribozyme from 1 species